rnacentral:rRNA from 1 species
GUGGGGAAUCUUAGACAAUGGGCGCAAGCCUGAUCUAGCCAUGCCGCGUGAGCGAUGAAGGCCUUAGGGUUGUAAAGCUCUUUUGUGGGGGAAGAUAAUGACUGUACCCCAAGAAGAAGCCCCGGCUAACUCCGUGCCAGCAGCCGCGGUAAUACGGAGGGGGCUAGCGUUGUUCGGAAUUACUGGGCGUAAAGCGCACGUAGGCGGACUGGAAAGUCAGGGGUGAAAUCCCGGGGCUCAACCCCGGAACUGCCUUUGAAACUCCCAGUCUUGAGUUCGAGAGAGGUGAGUGGAAUUCCGAGUGUAGAGGUGAAAUUCGUAGAUAUUCGGAGGAACACCAGUGGCGAAGGCGGCUCACUGGCUCGAUACUGACGCUGAGGUGCGAAAGCGUGGGGAGCAAACAGGAUUAGAAACCCCAGUAGUCC